rnacentral:rRNA from 1 species
UUCGCAAUGCCCGAAAGGGUGACGAAGCGACGCCGCGUGGGUGAGGAAGGCCUUCGGGUUGUAAAGCCCUGUCAGGAGUUAAGAAAUGUAAGUGCGCUAAUAUCGCAUUUAUUUGACAAAGGCUCCAAAGGAAGCCACGGCUAACUCUGUGCCAGCAGCCGCGGUAAUACAGAGGUGGCAAGCGUUGUUCGGAAUUAUUGGGCGUAAAGAGCACGUAGGUGGGUUUGUAAGUCAGAUGUGAAAGCCUUCUGUUCAACGGGAGAAUUGCAUCUGAAACUACAAACCUUGAGUAUAGGAGGGGAGAAUGGAACUUCUGGUGGAGCGGUGAAAUGCGUAGAUAUCAGAAGGAACGUCGGCGGCGAAAGCGACUCUCUGGCCUAUUACUGACACUGAGUGUGCGAAAGUUAGGGGAGCAAACGGGAUUAGAUACCCCGGUAGUCCUAACUGUAAACGAUGGGCACUAAGUAGAGGGGUUUU